AGGGUUUGAUCAUGGCUCAGAUUGAACGCUGGCGGCAGGCCUAACACAUGCAAGUCGAGCGGUAGAGAGAAGCUUGCUUCUCUUGAGAGCGGCGGACGGGUGAGUAAUGCCUAGGAAUCUGCCUGGUAGUGGGGGAUAACGUUCGGAAACGGACGCUAAUACCGCAUACGUCCUACGGGAGAAAGCAGGGGACCUUCGGGCCUUGCGCUAUCAGAUGAGCCUAGGUCGGAUUAGCUAGUUGGUGAGGUAAUGGCUCACCAAGGCGACGAUCCGUAACUGGUCUGAGAGGAUGAUCAGUCACACUGGAACUGAGACACGGUCCAGACUCCUACGGGAGGCAGCAGUGGGGAAUAUUGGACAAUGGGCGAAAGCCUGAUCCAGCCAUGCCGCGUGUGUGAAGAAGGUCUUCGGAUUGUAAAGCACUUUAAGUUGGGAGGAAGGGUUGUAGAUUAAUACUCUGCAAUUUUGACGUUACCGACAGAAUAAGCACCGGCUAACUCUGUGCCAGCAGCCGCGGUAAUACAGAGGGCGCAAGCGUUAAUCGGAAUUACUGGGCGUAAAGCGCGCGUAGGUGGUUUGUUAAGUUGGAUGUGAAAUCCCCGGGCUCAACCUGGGAACUGCAUUCAAAACUGACUGACUAGAGUAUGGUAGAGGGUGGUGGAAUUUCCUGUGUAGCGGUGAAAUGCGUAGAUAUAGGAAGGAACACCAGUGGCGAAGGCGACCACCUGGACUAAUACUGACACUGAGGUGCGAAAGCGUGGGGAGCAAACAGGAUUAGAUACCCUGGUAGUCCACGCCGUAACGAUGUCAACUAGCCGUUGGAAGCCUUGAGCUUUUAGUGGCGCAGCUAACGCAUUAAGUUGACCGCCUGCG
rnacentral:rRNA from 1 species